AUUGAACGCUGGCGGCAGGCUUAACACAUGCAAGUCGAGCGAGCGGCGGACGGGUGAGUAAUUUCUGGGAAACUGCCUGAUGGAGGGGGAUAACUACUGGAAACGGUAGCUAAUACCGCAUACCAUCACUUGCGCCCAGAUGGGAUUAGCUAGUAGGUGGGGUAAUGGCUCACCUAGGUGACGAUCCCUAGCUGGUCUGAGAGGAUGACCAGCCACACUGGAACUGAGACGCGGACCAGACUCCUACGGGAGGAGGCAGUGGGGAAUAUUGUACAAUGGACGGAAGCCUGAUGCAGCCGUGCCGAGUAUGUGAAGAGGGCCUUCGGGUUGUAGAGCACUUUCAGCAAGGAGGCGUUACUCACAGAAGAAGCACCGGCUAACUCCGUGCCAACAGCCGCGGUAAUUC
rnacentral:rRNA from 1 species